UACGUAGGGCGCAAGCGUUGUCCGGAAUUAUUGGGCGUAAAGAGCUCGUAGGCGGCCAGUUGCGUCUGCUGUGAAAUCCCGGGGCUCAACCCCGGGCUUGCAGUGGAUACGGGCUGGCUGGAGGCAGGCAGGGGAGAACGGAAUUCCCGGUGUAGCGGUGAAAUGCGCAGAUAUCGGGAAGAACACCCGUGGCGAAGGCGGCUCUCUGGGACGGUACUGACGCUGAGACGCGAAAGCGUGGGGAGCGAACAGG
rnacentral:rRNA from 1 species